rnacentral:lncRNA from 1 species
UUUUAAAACAGCAACAACAAUAUGCCCUGAAUAGUAGAGAAACAAAAGAGCGAUUGAUCUACAAAGGCAAGACCCAGAUUGAGACCACAGUGAACCCUGCAAAACAGAGGAGCCCCUGGGUGGGAGGGGAUAUAACUGGAACUCUGGGAAUGUAACGGGCAUGGUGUGCUUGUCUGAUGGACAGGGCAGCUUAGGGGAAUAAGUCUCUGCAGCGUUGUAGUGAAGAGAGAAUACGGGACAACUGCAGGACCACAGCUCAGCCAAGAGCUCCCUUGCAGCUGAGUUGGCCAUAUGACUGACAGCAAGCCCUGGAAUGCAGCCAGAAGUGAUAGAAGCCUCUUUCACACCAUGCUCCUAAAAUAUUCCAAGAAAUUUUCCAAACCUACUCUUUUUAGUCUGUGCAUCUGGAAGUGAAAGUUUUAGAAAGGGUAAAGUCACUUAAUGGAAAGGGCCCAGAUCUAGCCCCUCGGAGCCAAGCUGUCCAACUAGAAAUUCUGCAUUAGUAUUUGCGACCCCAGUAAAAAAAAAAAAGUCCCACAAAGAUGUAGGAUCUCACUUUGCCUGCGUUAAUUCCCUGUCCUUUGCCCAGUUUCUCCUCUCUUGGAAGGCAGAGGCAGCUUCUGAUUUUGAUCACUUCAUGUCCAGUGAGCUCAAGUGUUGCAAGUAUCUGCUUAAAAUGCCAUGUGAUGCUAAUCAUCUCUGCACGAGCAGUUCAUCUCAUCUCUCCAGUAAAUUGCUUAUCACAGUAAAAGGCCUCUUCUGGAACUGAUUGCAAGGAGUGAAAUGGACUAAUUUUAGAAUAAGCAACUCUACUAUGGAACAUCUGAAAAAAAAAGAGCACUUUUUAAAUUACAGCAAAAUAUUUUUUGAUAUAAAUUUGUGUCUGGCUUCCGCAGAAAACAGUAGACACAUAUAAGGUUUUGCUCCAAGAACAGACUGGACAAAUGAAAUGACAUAUAUAUCCACAAGGGACAUGUUUUUAAGGCAGUUGUCAGAGGAGAAAGAGGAGAAGCAUGUGGAAGGAGGGCUUCCUGAUGACUAAAUUAUAUGUAUGUUUCUGUAUGUCUCAUUUCAUGGGAACUACCUCUACUUUCAAAUGAUCAUUUCUUCCCAACAUUUCAAUCUAUAUAUCAC